rnacentral:rRNA from 1 species
GAUGAACGCUAGCUACAGGCUUAACACAUGCAAGUCGAGGGGUAACAAGAGGAAAGCUUGCUUUUCUUGUUGACGACCGGCGCACGGGUGAGUAACGCGUAUCCAACCUGCCUAUAACUAGGGAAUAACCUUGCGAAAGUAAGACUAAUACCCUAUGAUUUCCUUUGGUGACAUCAGAUUAGGAAUAAAGAUUUAUCGGUUAUAGAUGGGGAUGCGUCUGAUUAGCUUGUUGGCGGGGUAACGGCCCACCAAGGCAACGAUCAGUAGGGGUUCUGAGAGGAAGGUCCCCCACAUUGGAACUGAGACACGGUCCAAACUCCUACGGGAGGCAGCAGUGAGGAAUAUUGGUCAAUGGGCGGAAGCCUGAACCAGCCAAGUAGCGUGCAGGAUGACGGCCCUAUGGGUUGUAAACUGCUUUUAUACAGGAAUAAAGUUAGCCACGUGUGGUUAUUUGUAGGUACUGUAUGAAUAAGGACCGGCUAAUUCCGUGCCAGCCGCCGCCGUAACAC